CUGCCCUCAAGCACGGCUUGUGUGUUGGGCCUCCGUCCUCCUCCCGGGGGACGGGCCCGAAAGGCAGCGGCGGCACCGCGUCCGGUCCUCGAGCGUAUGGGGCUUCGUCACCCGCUCUUGUAGGCCCGGCCGGCGCUUGCCGACACAUCAAUCUUUUUCCAGG
rnacentral:misc_RNA from 1 species